AAGGCCUAACACAUGCAAGUCGAACGUGAAGCAGGAGCUUGCUCCUGUGGAAAGUGGCAGACGGGUGAGUAACGCGUGGGAAUCUACCCAGCUCUACGGAAUAACGCAGGGAAACUUGUGCUAAUACCGUAUACGUCCUCCGGGAGAAAGAUUUAUCGGAGUUGGAUGAGCCCGCGUUAGAUUAGUUUGUUGGUGGGGUAACGGCCUACCAAGACUACGAUCUAUAGCUGGUCUGAGAGGAUGAUCAGCCACACUGGGACUGAGACACGGCCCAGACUCCUACGGGAGGCAGCAGUGGGGAAUAUUGCACAAUGGGCGCAAGCCUGAUGCAGCCAUGCCGCGUGAGUGAAGAAGGCCUUAGGGUUGUAAAACUCUUUCAUCGGUGAAGAUAAUGACGGUAGCCGAAGAAGAAGCCCCGGCUAACUCCGUGCCAGCAGCCGCGGUAAUACGGAGGGGGCGAGCGUUGUUCGGAAUUACUGGGCGUAAAGCGCACGUAGGCGGAUUGGUCAGUUGGGGGUGAAAUCCCGAGGCUUAACCUCGGAACUGCCCUCAAUACUGCCAAUCUAGAGAUCGGAAGAGGUAAGUGGAAUUCCUAGUGUAGAGGUGAAAUUCGUAGAUAUUAGGAAGAACACCAGUGGCGAAGGCGGCUUACUGGUCCGAUACUGACGCUGAGGUGCGAAAGCGUGGGGAGCAAACAGGA
rnacentral:rRNA from 1 species